UAAGCACUUGACACAGUGCCUGGCUGC
rnacentral:piRNA from 1 species